GAUCCUGCAUUUGGAGAUUUGAGAAUUGUCGUCUUUUCCUCUGAAAUCCUCUUUGCUUCAUCUCUGCUGGUUUUACAAGUAUUUGCACCUUACACAGCAAUGAGAACAAUUCUGCAGACAUGUCAGAGUGGAGGAUCUGAUGAAGUGCCAGCCAAUGAAUUAAACCAGAAUACAGCAGAAUCUCAUGAAAUGAAUCCUCUACUGAGUCAGGAUCAAGAGGCUGGUAGGAGAGAUAUGACUAAGGAAAAUCAGCUGGAUUCAGUGAAUAUACAAACUCAUGUAAACAGUCAGUCCUGUGAAAUGUGGACAAACGGUGUGUUUCAGCAUUACAGUUGAUCUCUUCAACCUGCUACCCGCAGUGUCAUUGUUUACUAAAGAGUAAAGGAAAAAGAAAGUCAUCCACUGCUGUUGACAAAAUUUUUAAAGUUUCAAUAGGAGUUGGCAUCUUCAUUUAUGCAUUUAUGGUUGUGCUUCUUACUAAAAUGUUUUAUUUAUUAU